rnacentral:lncRNA from 1 species
UGUUGUCUAUAGGGACUUUUAAUCCACUGUGUCCUAAAGAAAUUUUAAUUUCUGUAAAGAGCAGAUAUUUUUUUUGCUGUAGAUUUCCUAGCUGAUUUCCUUUUUUUUUUUUUUCUUUAUAGAAAGAAGACUUCUGCACUGAACCCUUGCCAAGAAUCUGGCCAGCUCUGCUAGAUGGCCAGCAGGGGCGUGUCUGGAAAAAAUGCAUAAUGAAUGAUUUGACAGUUUUUGACUGCGGACUUAUGAAGAUAACAAGGAAAAUUAAUUUUUUAUGGAGAGUAGACUUUUAUUUUUAGAGCAUUAAUAAAGUGAAAGCAAAAUGU